GGGCAGCAUAAAGUACUUGUACUUUGAUGGCGACCGGCGAACGGGUGCGUAACGCGUAUGCAACUUACCUUUUACUAGAGAAUAGCCAAGAGAAAUUUUGAUUAAUGCUCUAUACUCUUUUUAACUCACAUGAGUUUUUAAGAAAAGCUCCGGCGGUAAAAGAUGGGCAUGCGUCCUAUUAGCUUGUAGGUGAGGUAACGGCUCACCUAAGCUCCGAUAGGUAGGGGUCCUGAGAGGGAGAUCCCCCACACUGGUACUGAGACACGGACCAGACUUCUACGGAAGGCAGCAGUAAGGAAUAUUGGACAAUGGAGGAAACUCUGAUCCAGCGAUGCCGCGUGAAGGAAGACGGCCCUAUGGGUUGUAAACUUCUUUUAUACAGGAAGAAACCUUUCCACGUGUGGAAAGCUGACGGUACUGUAAGAAUAAGGAUCGGCUAACUCCGUGCCAGCAGCCGCGGUAAUAUGGAGGAUCCAAGCGUUAUCCGGAAUUAUUGGGUUUAAAGGGUCCGCAGGCUGUUUGUUAAGUCAGGGGUGAAAUCCUACCGCUCAACGGUAGAACUGCCUUUGAUACUGGCAAACUUGAGUUAUUGUGAAGUAGUUAGAAUGUGUAGUGUAGCGGUGAAAUGCAUAGAUAUUACACAGAAUACCAAUUGCGAAGGCAGAUUACUAACAAUUAACUGACGCUGAGGGACGAAAGCGUGGGUAGCGAACAGGAUUAGAUACCCUGGUAGUCCACGCCGUAAACGAUGGUCACUAGCUGUUCGAUGUACAUUGGUACAUUGAGUGGCUAAGCGAAAGUGAUAAGUGACCCACCUGGGGAGUACGCUCGCAAGAGUGAAGCUCAAAGGAAUUGACGGGGGCCCGCACAAGCGGUGGAGCAUGUGGUUUAAUUCGAUGAUACGCGAGGAACCUUACCAGGACUUAAAUGUAAGUUGCAUGAUUCAGAAAUGGAUCUUUCUUCGGACUACUUACAAGGUGCUGCAUGGUUGUCGUCAGCCCGUGCC
rnacentral:rRNA from 1 species